rnacentral:lncRNA from 1 species
GAAGACUUUGCCAGUAAAUGUUGUAUCAAAUUCCAGGUUUGCCUCUUCUGCCAUGCCCACUCCCUUGUGGCUACAGUGGCCCUGUAAUUGGACCUGACUUGGACCUGACUUCAGGAGCUCCUGAAAUAUCACUGGCAGGUGCCACAAGAGGAGCUUCUGUGGUCAUCUCCUAUCACAUAUGGAGCCAGGAUACAUAGCAUUGUCUCACUCCAGCUCACUGUUUCACUUGGAAUGGUAGGACCUGGGAUUUCCUGGACCACCACAAUGGGAAUGUAACUCUACAUCCUGAGGUGGGAAUCAUUUUCUGGGAGGUAUGCAUAGAUUCCUGCCUCUUCUAUAUUAACAUUUAAAUAUUUUUAUGUGCAUAGAGAAAAUUGUAAUAAAAUAAGGUCCCCCUUGCCA